CCUACGGGUGGCAGCAGUGAGGAAUAUUGGUCAAUGGACGAGAGUCUGAACCAGCCAAGUAGCGUGAAGGAUGACUGCCCUAUGGGUUGUAAACUUCUUUUAUCUGGGAAUAAAACAGGGUAUGCAUACCCUCUUUUAUGUACCAUAUGAAUAAGGAUCGGCUAACUCCGUGCCAGCAGCCGCGGUAAUACGGAGGAUCCGAGCGUUAUCCGGAUUUAUUGGGUUUAAAGGGAGCGUAGGUGGAGUGUUAAGUCAGUUGUGAAAGUUUGCGGCUCAACCGUAAAAUUGCAGUUGAAACUGGCAGUCUUGAGUACAGUAGAGGUGGGCGGAAUUCGUGGUGUAGCGGUGAAAUGCUUAGAUAUCACGAAGAACUCCGAUUGCGAAGGCAGCUCACUGGACUGCAACUGACACUGAUGCUCGAAAGUGUGGGUAUCAAACAGGAUUAGAUACCCCAGUAGUC
rnacentral:rRNA from 1 species